UACGAAGGGGGCUAGCGUUGUUCGGAAUUACUGGGCGUAAAGCGCACGUAGGCGGAUACUUAAGUUAGGGGUGAAAUCCCAGGGCUCAACCCUGGAACUGCCUCUAAUACUGGGUAUCUAGAGUCCGAGAGAGGUGAGUGGAAUUCCGAGUGUAGAGGUGAAAUUCGUAGAUAUUCGGAGGAACACCAGUGGCGAAGGCGGCUCACUGGCUCGGUACUGACGCUGAGGUGCGAAAGCGUGGGGAGCAAACAGG
rnacentral:rRNA from 1 species